rfam:Planococcus rifietoensis strain M8, complete genome.
ACGGUGUUCCGCUGCAAAGAUUACGGAUUGCAAGAGCAUCUG